CGCCAGACUCCUACGGGAGGCAGCAGUGGGGAAUAUUGCACAAUGGGGGAAACCCUGAUGCAGCGACGCCGCGUGAGCGAUGAAGUAUUUCGGUAUGUAAAGCUCUAUCAGCAGGGAAGAAGAUGACGGUACCUGACUAAGAAGCCCUGGCUAACUACGUGCCAGCAGCCGCGGUAAUACGUAGGGGGCAAGCGUUAUCCGGAUUUACUGGGUGUAAAGGGAGCGUAGACGGCGAUGCAAGCCAGAUGUGAAAGCCCGGGGCUCAACCCCGGGACUGCAUUUGGAACUGUGUGGCUGGAGUGUCGGAGAGGCAGGCGGAAUUCCUAGUGUAGCGGUGAAAUGCGUAGAUAUUAGGAGGAACACCAGUGGCGAAGGCGGCCUGCUGGACGAUGACUGACGUUGAGGCUCGAAAGCGUGGGGAGCAAACAGGAUUAGAUACCCUCGUA
rnacentral:rRNA from 1 species